rnacentral:rRNA from 1 species
UGAAACACGGACCGUGGAGUGUAGCUAUUNUGCGAGUCGAAGAGUGCUCAAAACUCUANAUCGGCGUAAUGAAAGUAAAGACCGACUCGUGCGGUUGACAUGGGAUUUGGUGGCUCUCGUGGUCUGCCAACGCACCAUGGUCCUAUCCGAAUGGCUUGCCAUUGGGUAGAGAUAGAGCAUAAUGGCUGCGACCCGAAAGAUGGUGAUCUAUGCUUGAGCAGGACGAAGCCAGAGGAAACUCUGGUGGAAGUCCGCAUCGGUUUUGACGUGCAAAUCAAUCGAUAGACUUGAGUAUAGGGGCGAAAGACUCAUCGAACCAUCUAGUAGCUGGUUCCUUCCGAAGUUUUUCUUAGAAUAGCUGGGACUCGAAUGUUUACAUUCGAUAAAGAUAAUGAUUAGAGGUAUUGGGGACGAAACGUUCUCAACCUAUUCUCAAACUUUAAACGGGUGUAAUGCCUUCAGUUUCUUCAUUGAACUGAUCGCACGAACAUCGNAAGGUCCCAAGUGNGCCAUUUCUGGUAAGC